rnacentral:lncRNA from 1 species
CUUUUCUGUGCCUGGAGGCUUGUCAGGCCCAGCUGACGAACUCCCUGUGAACUGGCCUCAAGCUCUACAGGACAGCAAGGGUUUCCGCACACCUUAUUAGAACCGAAGAAUACACACCCAGUCACGUACCACAGACCUCUGAUUCAGCUUAACUGAGCAUGUCUCUACCCCAGCAGCCGUGGAUCUACCCCCUUCUAAAGAAUGAAGCUGUAAUGGAGAGAGGGCAGAACUGGGGUAUUAACUGAUGCCUCUUGAAGUUGGCGCUGCAUGUGUGAUAACGCGGAAGGCCACCGAGCAGAGGAUGCCCAGAGGAGAGGCGCUACUGCCCAGGGGACCAACAGGAAGCGAGAGCGAGGUGUUCUGUCCACCAAAACCGGACACAGUGUCUGUAUGUGUUUGACCCAGGCGAACAAAGGUGAUGUCUGAAAAAUGACCUCCUACUUGACGUUUACAUGACACUAAAUGAUCUAUUUGAAUGUCACUAUUUAAGUGAUUGCUUUUCCAGCUUGCAGACGGUCUAAUUCUCAUCAAUUUCACUUUUAAUCUAGAAGAGAAAUGAUAGCCAAUGAAGGGAAGGAAAAGAAGGAGAAGCAGUCC